UGGAAUACUAAUUUUUUUAUACAAAAUUUGUUCAUUUGAAUAAUAUAUUUUGAUUGUGGUGAUUAUGGUGAUUGUGGUGAUUGUGGUGACUAUGGUGAUUGUGGUGAUAUAGUGAUAUGGUGAUAUAGUGAUUGUGGUGAUUGUGGUGACUAUGGUGAUUGUGGUGAUAUAGUGAUAUGGUGAUAUGGUGAUUGUGGUGAUUAUGGUGAUAUAUGAUAUAGUGAUAUAGUGAUAGGGUGAUUGUGGUGAUUAUGGUGAUAUGGUGAUUGUGGUGAUUGUAGUGAUAUAGUGGUGUGGUGAUUGUGGUGAUUAUGGUGAUUAUGGUGAUAUGGUGAUAUAGUGAUUGUGGUGAUUGUGGUGACUGUGGUGACAUGGUGAUAUGGUGAUUGUGGUGAUUAUGGUGAUUAUGGUGAUAUGGUGAUAUAGUGAUUGUGGUGAUUGUGGUGACUGUGGUGACAUGGUGAUAUGGUGAUUGUGGUGAUUAUGGUGAUAUGGUGAUUGUGGUGAUUGUGGUGAUAUAGUGGUAUGGUGAUUGUGGUGAUUAUGGUGAUUAUGGUGAUAUAGUGAUAUGGUGAUAUGGUGAUUGUGGUGAUUAUGGUGAUAUGGUGAUAUAGUGAUAUGGUGAUAUGGUGAUUAUGGUGAUUAUGGUGAUAUGGUGAUUGUGGUGAUUAUGGUGAUAUAGUGAUUGUGGUGAUUAUGGUGAUUAUGGUGAUUAUGGUGAUAGUGAUAUAGUGAUAUAGUGAUUAUGGUGAUUAUGGUGAUAGUGAUAUAGUGAUAUGGUGAUAGGGUGAUUGUGGUGAUUAUGGUGAUAUGGUGAUAUAGUGAUAUGGUGAUAUAGUGAUAUGGUGAUUAUGGUGAUUGUGGUGAUUGUGGUGAUGUGGUGAUUGUGAUGAUUGUGGUGAUUAUGGUGAUUAUGGUGAUUAUGGUGAUUAUGGUGUUGUGGUGAUUCGUAUAAGAUGAAAUGAUUCUGGGGACUGAGUCGUUAUUCUCGGUGUUAAUGAACGUGCUGCAUUAAUAAACCUUGCUAAAACCUUUCUGAAACCAUCACUGCUUUCUUUCAUAUUCUUGGCUUUUGGACCUUGAAUAUUUACACAUUUCAUUGUUUCUCUACUCAAACUCCUCUAUAGUGUGUGUGUGUGUGUGAGAGAGAGAGAGAGUGAAAAGAAGAGAAAACACUUGUUCUCCACCCACUCACACACACACUCACUCACACUCUCUCUCACACACACAAACACUCACACACUCACACACACACACACACACACAAACACUCACACACACAUAAUACACAUGGCGAAAUCAGAUUAGUUGGAGGGUUUAAAAUAAUAAUGCCGGAGUUUUGAUUGAAUCCUGUAUAUAACGGCGUGAGAGAUCCUGCGCUGUGUGUGAUAAUGUGUGAAAGACAGAAGGCACCUGACACCUCCCUCUCGCUCAAUGUUUUACGAGAUCGAGUCUUUAGGUAAUAGCUGCG
ensembl:lncRNA